rnacentral:rRNA from 1 species
GACGAACGCUGGCGGCGUGCCUAACACAUGCAAGUGGAGCGACGAACCGGACUUCGGUCCGGGGCAAAGCCGCGAACGGGUGAGUAACACGUGGGUAACCUGCCCCGAUGAUUGGGACAACCCGAGGAAACUCGGGCUAAUACCGAAUGUGCCCUACGGUCGCAAGACCGCUGGGGGAAAGGAAGCUUCGGCCCCCGCAUCGGGAUGGGCCCGCGGCCCAUUAGCUUGUUGGUGAGGUAAAGGCUCACCAAGGCCACGAGUGGGUAGCUGGUCUGAGAGGACGAUCAGCCACACUGGGACUGAGACACGGCCCAGACUCCUACGGGAGGCAGCAGUGGGGAAUCUUGCGCAAU